CACAUGCAAGUCGAGGGGCAGCAUUGGUCUUAGCUUGCUAAGGCCGAUGGCGACCGGCGCACGGGUGAGUAACACGUAUCCAACCUGCCGUCUACUCUUGGACAGCCUUCUGAAAGGAAGAUUAAUACAAGAUGGCAUCAUGAGUCCGCAUGUUCACAUGACUAAAGGUAUUCCGGUAGACGAUGGGGGAUGCGUUCCAUUAGAUAGUAGGCGGGGUAACGGCCCACCUAGUCUUCGAUGGAUAGGGGUUCUGAGAGGAAGGUCCCCCACAUUGGAACUGAGACACGGUCCAAACUCCUACGGGAGGCAGCAGUGAGGAAUAUUGGUCAAUGGGCGAGAGCCUGAACCAGCCAAGUAGCGUGAAGGAUGACUGCCCUAUGGGUUGUAAACUUCUUUUAUAAAGGAAUAAAGUCGGGUAUGUAUACCCGUUUGCAUGUACUUUAUGAAUAAGGAUCGGCUAACUCCGUG
rnacentral:rRNA from 1 species